AGCUCCAAUAGCGUAUAUUAAAGUUGUUGCAGUUAAAAAGCUCGUAGUCGUAUUUCUAGGAUGAGCAAUUUGUCCGGGUGUUUUGCAUCUGUGUACAUUUUUGUCUCGUCCUAUCCUUGUGGAGAGCUUGUUUGGCCUUAAUCGGUUGAGCAAGGGAUCUGCAUCAUUUACUGUGAAAAAUUAGAGUGUUUAAAGCAGGCAUUUGCUGUGAAUACAUUAGCAUGGAAUAAUAAGAUAGGACUUUGGUACUAUUUUGUUGGUUUGCAUACCAAGGUAAUGAUGAAUAGGGACAGUUGGGGGUAUUCAUAUUUAGUUGUCAGAGGUGAAAUUCUUGGAUUUACGAAAGAUGAACUUAUGCGAAAGCAUUUACCAAGGAUGUUUUCA
rnacentral:rRNA from 1 species